rnacentral:rRNA from 1 species
AUGAUGGGGGACGACUCGGACGACCUCAUCUCCAGAUCGCUCUUCUUCAUCAGCGUCGGCAGCAACGACCUGUUCGAGUACGCCUACCCCUGGCCGACGCCCCCGAACCGCAACGACACCGCCUUCCUGGGAUGCCUCGUCGACCAUUACAAGACCUACCUGCAGGAGCUGUAUGCGGCCGGGGCGAGGAAGUUCAGCAUCGUCAGCCCGUCGCUGGUGGGGUGCUGCCCGUCGCAGAGGGCGGUGGCGGUGACACAUAACAAUGACACCGACGAGUUCAACUGCUUCGGCGCGGCGAACAAGCUCUCCAGGCAGCUGUACCCAAUGAUAGACUCGAUGCUGCAGGGCCUCAACGCUGAUCUGGACGGCAUGAACUACUCCCUCUCCGACUCCGUAGGGAUGGCCCAAAUGGUCUUCGCCAGCGGCGGAAAAGCCGUCAACCUGACGGUGGUGGACACGGCGUGCUGCGCCGGCACAGGACGGUUCGGGGUGGGCCAGUGCAACACCUCCGCCAAGCUCUGCCCAAACCGCGACGACUUCAUGUUCUGGGACGGCUUCCAUCCGACGGAGGAGGCGUCGUUCCUGGCCGCGAUCGAGAUCUUCGGCGACACCGGCAAAUACCUCCACCCGAUGAACGUGAGGCAGCUGGCGGCGCUCUAA